GAUAAACGCUGGCGGCGUGCAUAACACAUGCAAGUCGAACGAUGAAGCUUAAAAGAUUUCUUCGGAAUGAACUUAAUUGGAUUAGUGGCGGACGGGUGAGUAACGCGUGAGUAACCUGCCUUGUACAAGGGGAUAGCCGUUGGAAACGACGAAUAAUACCCUAUGACAUCAAAUAAUCGCAUGAUAAUUUGAUCAAAGAUUUAUCGGUAUAAGAUGGACUCGCGUCUGAUUAGCUAGUUGGUAGAGUAAAAGCCUACCAAGGCAACGAUCAGUAGCCGGCUUGAGAGAGUGUACGGCCACAUUGGGACUGAGACACGGCCCAGACUCCGACGAGAGGCAGCAGUGGGGAAUUAUGCACAAUGGGGGAAACCCUGAUGCAGCGACGCCGCGUGAUUUAGAAGGCCUUCGGGUUGUAAAAAUCUUUUGUAUGGGAAGAAAAUGACAGUACCAUACGAAUAAGGACCGGCUAAUUACGUG
rnacentral:rRNA from 1 species